GGGCCCGCACAAGCAGUGGAGUAUGUGGUUUAAUUCGAAGCAACGCGAAGAACCUUACCAGGGCUUGACAUCCCUUGAACGCUGUAGAGAUACAGUUUCCCUUCGGGGCAAGGAGACAGGUGGUGCAUGGUUGUCGUCAGCUCGUGUCGUGAGAUGUUGGGUUAAGUCCCGCAACGAGCGCAACCCCUGUUGUUAGUUGCCAGCAUUAAGUUGGGCACUCUAGCAAGACUGCCGGUGACAAAUCGGAGGAAGGUGGGGACGACGUCAAAUCAUCAUGCCCCUUAUGUCCUGGGCUACACACGUACUACAAUGGCUAUUACAGCAGGAAGCGAAAGAGCAAUCUGGAGCAAAUCCUCAAAAAUAGUCCCAGUUCAGAUUGUGGGCUGAAACUCGCCCACAUGAAGUCGGAAUUGCUAGUAAUGGCAGGUCAGCAUACUGCCGUGAAUACGUUCCCGGGCCUU
rnacentral:rRNA from 1 species